CCUACGGGAGGUAGCAGUGAGGAAUAUUGGUCAAUGGACGAGAGUCUGAACCAGCCAAGUAGCGUGAAGGAUGACUGCCCUAUGGGUUGUAAACUUCUUUUAUAAAGGAAUAAAACGAGGCACGUGUGCCUUUUUGCAUGUACUUUAUGAAUAAGGAUCGGCUAACUCCGUGCCAGCAGCCGCGGUAAUACGGAGGAUCCGAGCGUUAUCCGGAUUUAUUGGGUUUAAAGGGAGCGUAGAUGGGUUGUUAAGUCAGUUGUGAAAGUUCGCGGCUCAACCGUAAAAUUGCAAUUGAUACUGGCAGUCGUGAGUACAGUUGAGGUAAGCGGAAUUCGUGGUGUAGCGGUGAAAUGCUUAGAUAUCACGAAGAACCCCGAUUGCGAAGGCAGCUUACUAAACUGUGACUGACAUUGAUGCUCGAAAGUGUGGGUAUCAAACAGGAUUAGAUACCCCAGUAGUC
rnacentral:rRNA from 1 species